CGACGGCACAGGGAUGGUUGGGAGUCCUGACAGGGGUUUCUGUGAGGCAAAGCUCGUAGGAUGGCCCGCAUUUCGCUCAAGUGGGUACCUGCAGUGCCAGACUGAAAUCCUGAGCAGACCACCAUCGACUUUGGAUUGGCUCUGUACGUUUCCCUCCUUCAUAGGACACCAGUGCCUGAACCACAUAACCCUGGGAGCCAUACUCGAUCACAGAAAUAAAUUGUGAAUCACUAAA